UUAUAAGAGACAGCAGUCGCCACGGUAACACGGAGGGGGCUAGCGUUGUUCGGAAUUACUGGGCGUAAAGCGCACGUAGGCGGCUUGGUAAGUUAGAGGUGAAAGCCCGGAGCUCAACUCCGGAAUUGCCUUUAAGACUGCCGAGCUAGUAGGUGAGAGAGGUAAGUGGAAUUCCGAGUGUAGAGGUGAAAUUCGUAGAUAUUCGGAAGAACACCAGUGGCGAAGGCGGCUUACUGGCUCAUUCUAGACGCUGAGGUGCGAAAGCGUGGGGAGCAAACAGGAUUAGAUACCCCCGUAGUCCCUGUCUCUUAUAC
rnacentral:rRNA from 1 species